rnacentral:lncRNA from 1 species
ACGGUGAUGAGGCUUAUUUGGGUGCUGUUAGGAGAUCUAAAUCAAGUCUAAGCUGGGUUUGAGGCCUUUAAGAGGCCUUGUGCGCAACAAAGAACCCAUGGCUUGGGGUGUUUGGGAAAGAUCCUACAGCCGAUAGAGCAGAUACAGACAAAGCACCGAUAGAGGGUCGGUGGUAGAGCAGAGUAUCAGGCCGAGCAGCAGAGGAUCUCAGGGAGACAAAGUAGUUGAGGAGUAGCUUGGUGUGAGUAGUAGGCA